rnacentral:rRNA from 1 species
CAUAUCAAUAAGCGGAGGAAAAGAAACUAACAAGGAUUCCCCUAGUAGCGGCGAGCGAAGCGGGAAGAGCUCAAAUUUAUAAUCUGGCACCUUCGGUGUCCGAGUUGUAAUCUCUAGAAAUGUUUUCCGCGUUGGACCGCACACAAGUCUGUUGGAAUACAGCGGCAUAGUGGUGAGACCCCCGUAUAUGGUGCGGACGCCCAGCGCUUUGUGAUACAUUUUCGAAGAGUCGAGUUGUUUGGGAAUGCAGCUCAAAUUGGGUGGUAAAUUCCAUCUAAAGCUAAAUAUUGGCGAGAGACCGAUAGCGAACAAGUACCGUGAGGGAAAGAUGAAAAGCACUUUGGAAAGAGAGUUAACAGUACGUGAAAUUGUUGGAAGGGAAACGCUUGAAGUCAGACUUGCUUGCCGAGCAAUCGGUUUGCAGGCCAGCAUCAGUUUUCCGGGAUGGAUAAUGGUAGAGAGAAGGUAGCAGUUUCGGCUGUGUUAUAGCUCUCUGCUGGAUACAUCUUGGGGGACUGAGGAACGCAGUGUGCCUUUGGCGGGGGUUUCGACCUCUUCACACUUAGGAUGCUGGUGGAAUGGCUUUAAACGAC